GGCUAGUAUAUAAAGAGACUAUUAUAGAAUAUAAAAGGCUGUAUAUUAAACCAUUAGUACCGUAAAAAUGAUGGAGUAAUUUCCAUUUAUUAGGGAAAAUGGUAGAAGAAUUUCUAUAAAAAAAACGAAGUGAAUUGAAGUAUCUUAUUAGCUUCAGGAAAAUAAAUCAAACGAGAUUCUAUUAGUAGUGUGAAUGAAAAUAGAUAUAGGCUUAAAGUAAAAUGGAUUAAUCUGUUUGAAUAUAGGGGAACCUUCCUCUAAGCCUUAAUAUAAUAUACAAGAAAUAGCGAAUAGUACUGUGAAGGAAGUAUGUAAAAUAGUAGUCUUAUAAGCAGCUCGAGGUAAGUUUAAUAAACAUAUGAGAGCGUACCUUUUGUAUAAUGGGUCAGCAAGUUCUAGUUAGAUGCAAGCAAGUAGUGAUUCGUGAGGAUAUAUUAAAUUAGAAUAGAUAUCAACAAGAUAGACAAUCUAAUAAUAUAAAUACACAAAAAAAAAUCAAUUUGCCUAGAUAAUCCAAUUAUUAAGUAAUGAAUUAGUAUCUAAUUAGAGACCCGAAGAGUAGUGAUCUUACCAUGGUCAGGCUUAUAAAAGGCCGAAUGGGUUAUCGUUGUAAAGAUAUCCAAAGAACUGUGGUAAGUUAGUGAAAGACAAUCCUGACUACUAUAGCUGGUUUUCCGCGAAACAUAUGUAAGUAUGUAGUUUAAAUAACAUCAUAGCAGGUACAGAACUGUGAUCUCGGACAAUUUGUGCAUUACUAUCCUUUUAGGGUAUGUAAUGCCUUGUGCAUAUGGGGGGGUCGUGAAGACUCUAUUCGCGAGUAUUUGCUCUCGGAAGGGCAAUGAUGAGUGUUGAACUAUCAGACAUUUAACGAUAAGGUUGUAUGUCAAAAGGGAAACAGCCCAGAACAAGUGUUUAAGGUUCCAAAGUUUUUGUUAAGUGAAAGUAAGGAAGUAUUUAAACUAUACAACCAGGAAAUAGGCUUAGAAGCGGCCAUUUUUUAAAGACCUCGUAACAGAGCACUGGUUCAAACGGUUAAUUCGUUAACCUUAUAAGUUAAAAGCGCCGAAGAUAUAACGGAUCUAAAACAAAACACCGACACCUUGUCCAUAAUAAUAAUAGUAGGUUAAAUCCUAUUUUAAUAUACUUAAAAGUUAUUUAAGUAUUAUUUAUGGGGUAGCGGAACAUUGGGUAAAUAGGAUUAAAAAUAGGUAAUAAACCCCUUAGAAUCUUUUUUAAUGUAUAAAAACUGGAUUAAUAGAGGGGAAGGAUACACCUAUUUUCAUUAUUACAUCUGUAAUUUGCUCGCUACAUUGCGGGUUUCCAUAAAUAUCCCAAGUGAGAAUGCUGACACGAGUAACGAAAAAGAGGAUGCCCCUAAAAGGCCCUCUCGCCUUAAGCUUAUGGGAAAGUUAAUCGGUCUCUAAAUUAAACCUAAAGGAUAAAAUGAUGAGGAGAUUAUAUGUGACAACAUAAAGAAAUGGAGUAAAAUGUUCUGGAAAAGCAUAUAGUCUAAGGAUGUAGAUAAAAAUACUAUCCUUUGGGAUGGCCCCUUACAGGGGCCAGACCUAAAGGUUAGUCCCCUUCGGGGACUAGUAAAUAAACUAGAGAGAUAUUACUAGGCAUCCUUAAACAUAUAAAACCGUACCUAAAAACUACCACAAGUAAGCUAGUAGAGAAUACGAAGGCGUUUGAGCUAACAAUCAUUAAGGAACUCGGCAAAUUGACACCGUAACUGAGGGAGAAGGUGUGCCAUUCCUACUGAUUAAUAUCAGUUUAGGAAAAGGAGACAUAAAAUGGUGUUGCACGACUGUUUAAUUAAAACACAGCACUUUGCGUAAGAUGUAAAUCAAUGUAUAGAGUGCGCUAUCUGCCCAAUGAUGGCUGGUUAACGGAUUUACUUAGACGACUAAAAUAGGCUAGGUUUUGAAGGAACCCCCAUUUAAUGGCGGCCUUACCUAUGAGGGUCCUAAGGUAGCGAAAUACCUUGGCAUUUAAAUGAUGUCGCGCAUGAAUGAUCUCACGAUGCAACAGCUGUCUCAAUGAUUGGCUCAGUGAAACUGGAAUGGCAGUGAAGAUACUGCCUAUCUCUAGAUAGACGAGAAGACCCCAUGCAGCUUUACUGUUACUAGUUAUAGGGUAUAAUUUAACAGGUUUUAGUGAAUAAGGUAGUUGAACGACAAAAUUGAAACACCUUUACUCUGGUUGUUAUAUCAGUAGAAUAGGUUACAUUAUUGUAACUGACGUCUGAAUGUAAUCCAUAAAAGGAGGGAGAUUAUAUCAAACUCAGGAGACAAUGGCUAGCAGAUGGUUUAUGCGGGGCACAGAUCCCAUAAAGAGUACCUGGGAGUAUCCAAAUUUAUUUUUGUAAUAUGCUAUACGCAAAUUAUAUAGGGCUUUUAUUAAAUAAUUGCCUUGUAUAUUUUAAUUUUUUAAUUACUAUAUUUAGUUUGUUAUUUUUUAUAUUUACUUUUAUAAAGUAUCUAUAACUAAUUCAGUUAUAUUUCUAUUUAAGUUAGAACUAAACAAUUUAAUAUAAGUAAGAUUUUACCUAUGUGGAAAAUAGGUGUAUAUAUAGUGUUAAUAAUUGUAAAAAAGAUAUAAUUAUAACACUAUUAGUUAUUUUUUUAGAAUACCUCUAUAAGAAAUGAUGUUGAUAUAUACUUCCAAAGUUUAAUGGCUUAAUCUUGCUUUACUGUUUGACAUACACGUCUAUCAGUUGCGUAAGCAGGGCAUAAAGACCGCAAGACGCAGUAAGGAAAGGUCUUGUAUUAUUGAAAAAGCUACGCUGGGGAUAACAGGCUAAUUGCGCCAGAGAGUACAAAUUGAGUGCGCAGUUUGGCACCUCGAUGUCGGCUUAGCUCAUCCACAUGAAUGCAGGAAUCAUGAAGGGUACGACUGUUCGUCGAUUAAAGAGCUACACGAGCUGGGUUAAAUACGUCGUGAGACAGUAUGGUUUCUAUCUUCUAGAGGAAAUUGGAGUAAAAUAAGGAUAGCCCCUUCGUACGAAAGGAGUUGGGUAUGGUAACCUAUGGUUUACCUGUUGUUUAUGCGCUUAAUAUUAACCUGAUAAAUAACGGCAAGAAUAGGUUCUCCUUAAUAAGUAGAAAAUGGGUAUCUACAGAAGAGGGAGAGUAAUAUAGAUAGAUUCAUGUGAAUUUAUUACCUAUUUGAGCUAUAGAUGGUAAUACUUUUAUACUCAAGUAUUUAUACAUAGUAUAGGCAUGGCAGGAAAGCUAUGUUAGUUAAGAUAAGUGCUGAAUGCAUCUAGGCACGAAGCUUACCUUAGGAUACUCUUAGAAACGUAGUAUAACAUUACGAAUCCAAAUUUUUCAUAGGGUUAGUGCUAGAAAAGUAGCUGCUACAGUUAACUCUAGUUCUAACAAUAUGGUUAAGGGAUUAUAGGCUUUGGCUGAAAGGGCUUUGAUGUUCUUAGGUAUAAAGUACUAAUUUAUUAUCAUUAACUAA
rnacentral:rRNA from 1 species